rnacentral:rRNA from 1 species
ACCCGCACAAGCGGUGGAUGAUGUGGAUUAAUUCGAUGCAACGCGAAGAACCUUACCUACCCUUGACAUGUCCGGAACUUGCCAGAGAUGGCUUGGUGCCCGAAAGGGAGUCGGAACACAGGUGCUGCAUGGCUGUCGUCAGCUCGUGUCGUGAGAUGUUGGGUUAAGUCCCGCAACGAGCGCAACCCUUAUCAUUAGUUGCUACGCAAGGGCACUCUAAUGAGACUGCCGGUGACAAACCGGAGGAAGGUGGGGAUGACGUCAAGUCCUCAUGGCCCUUAUGGGUAGGGCUUCACACGUCAUACAAUGGUCGGUAUAGAGGGUUGCCAAGCCGCGAGGCGGAGCCAAUCCCACAAAGCCGAUCGUAGUCCGGAUUGUUCUCUGCAACUCGAGAGCAUGAAGUCGGAAUCGCUAGUAAUCGCAGGUCAGCAUACUGCGGUGAAUACGUUCCCGGGUCUU